GCUUCCGAGGUGCAAGAGUCCGCACACCGCCCUGCGAAGGCGGAGGCUCGGGGUGCGAAUCCUCGCGGGAGCA
rnacentral:tRNA from 1 species